CGUAGUUCAAUGGAUAGAACACCUGCCUUCUAAGCAGGUUAUCCGGGUUCGAUUCCCGGCG
rnacentral:tRNA from 1 species